UAAGCGGAGGAAAAGAAAUUAACUAAGAUUGCCUCAGUAACGGCGAGUGAAGCGGCAAAAGCCCAAAAUGUAAAUCUUGUGCACUACGUGUACACGAAUUGUAAUCUAGAGAGAGUUCACUCAACGGGCGGGGGCGCAGAAGUGACCACGAACGGUCCGCCAGAGAGGGUGAAAGCCCCGUAUGUGGUGUCCCUGCUUAACGAGUGGGUUUUCGAAGAGUCGGGUUGUUUUGUAUUGCAGCCCUAAGUGGGAGAUAAACUUCUUCUAAGGCUAAAUAUUUAUGGGAAACCGAUAGCGAACAAGUACUGUGAAGGAAAGAUGAAAAGAACUUUGAAAAGAGAGUCAAAAGACUUGAAAUCGUUGAGAAGGAAGGGGUAGAAAUUUAUUCUUCGGCGUAGACCGGUGGUAGUCGCCUAACCAUUGCUGUUUGUGAGUACGUCAAAGGCUCCGGAUAGUACCUGGGGAAGUGGCUGCUUUGGUCUGCGUCGUGAGGCAAGAUGGGGUCGUGCGGCCACAAAGGCUUCUUUCAAAUCGCUGCCUUCGGGCGGCAGUGGGAGUGUGCCGGUGGAAGCGCGGCCUGAGGAUGCUUCGGCGAUCUUGCCAAAAUGGUUUUUACCCACCCGUCUUGAAACACGGACCAAGGAGUCUAAC
rnacentral:rRNA from 1 species